UACGAAUUGUGCGAACGUUAUUCGGAAUCACUGGGCUUAAAGGGUGCGUAGGCGGCCAUGAAGGUCUGAUGUGAAAUCCCACGGCUCAACCGUGGAAUUGCGUUGGAAACCACAUGGCUUGAGUAGGACAGAGGUGAGCGGAACUGAUGGUGGAGCGGUGAAAUGCGUUGAUAUCAUCAGGAACACCGGUGGCGAAAGCGGCUCACUGGGUCCUAACUGACGCUGAGGCACGAAAGCCAGGGGAGCAAACGGG
rnacentral:rRNA from 1 species